rnacentral:lncRNA from 1 species
AUUAUUAUUUUUAAGACCAUGGUGUCCGGGCCAGCUUGUGCACCCGACUAAUUCCACGAGAUAUCUGCUACCUCCCACCAACAACAUGUACCAUUGAACUCAAUCCAUCAGAACUCGGACAGAUGUAAAGAAAUCACCUAGUGUUUUUACGAGACCUCCUGGUUCUUAACCCACUUCAUUGACCACUUGGCCACACUAAUUUGGGUGCACAAAUAUAAAUUGCGAUAUAAAUGCUCUAAUCUAUUUCAACUGAGAAUUAUAUAUAGCAUGAAUAUAAAUAUACAGAAAAUUGUGUGUGUGUGUGUGUGUGAGAGAGAGAGAGAGAGAGAGACUGAACUGUGAUCGAUGAAUUGCUUGGCUUGUUGAAUGUCGCUAGAUGCGAGAACGGUGGAGAGAAUGUGCUUGUACUGUUCGAUUUUCUGGCGUUGGUCGCUGAUCGCCGAGGCGCUAGCGAACGCACUCUCCAUUGCGAAUUAGGGUUUCGUAUAUCUCUCUGGGCAAAACCAAAUCUUCUCGACUACGUAAUUGUUGCGAGUGUCGUGGAGUUCUUUUUCAAAGCGUUAAUGGAGCUUACCAAUUUUUGUUUGGCCUAUAACAGUUUGUAUUGUAUUUAUUCUGAUCGCCGAGGCGCUAGCGAACGCACUCUCCAUUGCGAAUUAGGGUUUCGUAUGUCUCUCUGGGCAAAACGAAAUCUUCUCGACUACUAAUUGUUGCGAGUGUCGUCGAGUUCUUUUUCAAAGCGUUAAUGGAGCUUACCAAUUUUUGUUUGGCCUAUAAAUAGGGAUUUGUCUGUCAUCUGUUUGCCUGCUUUGGUAUUGUCUUACGGGUGUUCAAUGUUCG